UGUUACGAUAGUAAUAAUUUGUAGCGUGUCGUGCUAUUUGAAACAGUUUUUAAGGCAAAAGUGGUCUCUCAAUACAGGUUUCGUCAUGAGGGCUACCCAGUGAAUAAUCUGUGUAGUGUGAUACGGCUGGGUGUACAGGUUACUUCACAGCUGCCUCGACAUACUCAAGAAAUGGGUGCAGAACCUGCGUAAUGCCCACAAACUUUGAUUACCACAGCACCUCCAGAAAGUAUGUGUCACAUGGGAUUUUUAAAUGUAUUCACAAUAUAUAAUACCUUGUAUUAACUGUUGUAGAUCUAAGCCGUCUCUACAGUACACUCUCAGAAAUUAAAACCGUGAGAACCGUGAUAAUUGUUUCAGUUAAUAGGCAUGCACAUAUAUGCUAUAAGAAGAAAAUUAUUUCUUGAGAAUGCACUUCUGUGGCUACUGGUGUUGUUUACAUCUACUGUUGAUCACAUUCAUUUAUCACAUAUUAUAUUCUUAUAUAUAAACACAUAUUUGAUCACAUUAAAUUCAAAAUUCAUCAUAUAUAAGAAAAUACCAGGAGGGAAGUUGCUAUUCAUUGCUCAUUCUAACCUAAAAUUGAGUGCUACAAAUUUAGAGAGAGUACCUGUCCAUUGUCAUUCCUAAAAUAUAUAUUGUCAUUGUAGCAAGGUCAUAAAACAAUAAAUGUAGUCUUUUGUGACCUCCCUGCACGUUCAUUGUGUCCUGAAACGCAUAAGUGCAAGAAAUAACUUGAAUAAACUUGAUGUUGUAUAAACUUGAUAUAAAAUGUUGGAUAAUAUAAUGUAUGAUAUAAAAUGUUGAAUAAACUUGAACUUGUAUAUUCUCUUU